rnacentral:rRNA from 1 species
GGCGGACGGGUGAGUAACGCGUGAGUAACCUGCCUCUAAGAGGGGAAUAACAUUCUGAAAAGAAUGCUAAUACCGCAUAACAUAUAUUUAUCGCAUGGUAGAUAUAUCAAAGAUUUAUCGCUUAGAGAUGGACUCGCGUCCGAUUAGUUAGUUGGUGAGGUAAACGGCUCACCAAGACCGCGAUCGGUAGCCGGACUGAGAGGUUGAACGGCCACAUUGGGACUGAGACACGGCCCAGACUCCUACGGGAGGCAGCAGUGGGGGAUAUUGCGCAAUGGGGGAAACCCUGACGCAGCAACGCCGCGUGAAGGAUGAAGGUCUUCGGAUUGUAAACUUCUUUUAUUAAGGACGAAGAAAGUGACGGUACUUAAUGAAUAAGCUCCGGCUAACUACGUG